CGGGGUGAGUAAUGUCUGGGAAACUGCCCGAUGGAGGGGGAUAACUACUGGAAACGGUAGCUAAUACCGCAUAACGUCGCAAGACCAAAGAGGGGGACCUUAGGGCCUCUUGCCAUCGGAUGUGCCCAGAUGGGAUUAGCUAGUAGGUGGGGUAAUGGCUCACCUAGGCGACGAUCCCUAGCUGGUCUGAGAGGAUGAUCAGCCACACUGGAACUGAGACACGGUCCAG
rnacentral:rRNA from 1 species